UACGGAGGAUUCAAGCGUUAUCCGGAUUUAUUGGGUUUAAAGGGUGCGUAGGCGGUUUGAUAAGUUAGAGGUGAAAUGUCGGGGCUCAACCCUGAAACUGCCUCUAAUACUGUUGGACUAGAGAGUAGUUGCGGUAGGCGGAAUGUAUGGUGUAGCGGUGAAAUGCUUAGAGAUCAUACAGAACACCGAUUGCGAAGGCAGCUUACCAAACUACAUCUGACGUUGAGGCACGAAAGCGUGGGUAGCAAACAGG
rnacentral:rRNA from 1 species